rnacentral:rRNA from 1 species
UGCUGCCCGUGCCUAUUGCAAGUCGAGCGGAGAUGGGAGCUUGCUCCCUGAUGUUAGCGGCGGACGGGUGAGUAACACGUGGGUAACCUGCCUGUAAGACUGGGAUAACUCCGGGAAACCGGGGCUAAUACCGGAUGCUUGUUUGAACCGCAUGGUUCAAACAUAAAAGGUGGCUUCGGCUACCACUUACAGAUGGACCCGCGGCGCAUUAGCUAGUUGGUGAGGUAAUGGCUCACCAAGGCAACGAUGCGUAGCCGACCUGAGAGGGUGAUCGGCCACACUGGGACUGAGACACGGCCCAGACUCCUACGGGAGGCAGCAGUAGGGAAUCUUCCGCAAUGGACGAAAGUCUGACGGAGCAACGCCGCGUGAGUGAUGAAGGUUUUCGGAUCGUAAAGCUCUGUUGUUAGGGAAGAACAAGUACCGUUCGAAUAGGGCGGUACCUUGACGGUACCUAACCAGAAAGCCACGGCUAACUACGUGCCAGCAGCCGCGGUAAUACGUAGGUGGCAAGCGUUGUCCGGAAUUAUUGGGCGUAAAGGGCUCGCAGGCGGUUCCUUAAGUCUGAUGUGAAAGCCCCCGGCUCAACCGGGGAGGGUCAUUGGAAACUGGGGAACUUGAGUGCAGAAGAGGAGAGUGGAAUUCCACGUGUAGCGGUGAAAUGCGUAGAGAUGUGGAGGAACACCAGUGGCGAAGGCGACUCUCUGGUCUGUAACUGACGCUGAGGAGCGAAAGCGUGGGGAGCGAACAGGAUUAGAUACCCUGGUAGUCCACGCCGUAAACGAUGAGUGCUAAGUGUUAGGGGGUUUCCGCCCCUUAGUGCUGCAGCUAACGCAUUAAGCACUCCGCCUGGGGAGUACGGUCGCAAGACUGAAACUCAAAGGAAUUGACGGGGGCCCGCACAAGCGGUGGAGCAUGUGGUUUAAUUCAAGCAACGCAAACCUUACCAGGUCUUGACAUCCUCUGACAAUCCUAGAUAGGACGUCCCCUUCGGGGGCAGAUGACAGGUGCAUGGGUCGUCAGCUCGUGUCGUGAGAUGUUGGGUAAGUCCCGCAACGAGCGCACCCUUGUAUCCAGCAUUCAUUGGACUCUAGGACUGGGAAAGGAGGGUGACUCAAAUCAUUGCCCCUUAGACGGCUGCUAAGAAAAGGCGAAUCCCAAUCUCUCAUUGUCUCUGCAUGUAGGUCUUCCCCUA